rnacentral:ncRNA from 1 species
GAAUCUCAAAUUUCCUUUAAACACAAAGGCUUGGUCCCAGCCUUAAAGUCAGUUAUUACUUAACUUACACAUGCAAGUCUCCGCACCCCAGUGAAAACGCCCUUACACCCUUCAUUAGGGAAAGGAGCUGGUAUCAGGCACAGUAGUUUGCCCAAGACACCUAGCCACGUCACACCCACAAGGGUCUUCAGCAGUGAUAAACAUUGAAAAUAAGUGUCAACUUGAUUCAGUUAGAGUAAAUAGAGUCGGCAAAUUUGGUGCCAGCCGCCGCGGUUACACCACAGGACUCAAAUUGAUUUUCUACCGGCGUAAAAUGUGAUUUAAGUCACCUUCACCACUAGAGUUGAACUAAUACUAAGUCGUAAUAAGCUUGUUAUAAGAAAAUCAUACACGAAAGUUACUCUACCCCCCUUCCACUUGAACUCACGAAAAUUUGGGCACAAACUAGGAUUAGAUACCCUACUAUGCCUUAUAGUAAACUUUAACUUACACCUAAAUCGCCAGGGAACUACGAGCUAAGCUUAAAACCCAAAGGACUUGACGGUACCCUACAUCCUUCUAGAGGAGCCUGUCCCAUAAUCGAUAAUCCCCGUUUAACCUCACCACUUUUAGCCAAUCAGCCUGUAUACUUCCGUCGUCAGCUUACCGCAUGAGCGUAUACCCUAGUAAGCCUAAUGUUUAACCAUCAAUACGUCAGGUCAAAGUGCAGCAAAUAAAGUGGAAAAAAGAUGGGCUACACUUUCUAUGAUAGAAGAUACGAAAGAUUAACAUGAAACCCUAAUCAGAAGGUGGAUUUAGCAGUAAAAAGAAAAUAGAAUAUUCUUUUUAACUCGGCACUGGGGUGUGUACAUACCGCCCGUCACCCUCUUCAUUAAACAAUAAUUAGUAAAUAACAAGUCCACUCCAAGAAGAAGAGGCAAGUCGUAACAUGGUAAGUGUAUCUGAAGAUGCACUUGGAAACGAAAUAU